rnacentral:rRNA from 1 species
GACGAACCGUCCAAACGUUGUUCGGAAUCACUGGGCUUAAAGGGCGCGUAGGCGGCCUGCUAAGUCGAACGUGAAAUCCCUGGGCUCAACCCAGGAACUGCGUCCGAUACUGGUUGGCUUGAAUCCGGGAGAGGGAUGUGGAAUUCCAGGUGUAGCGGUGAAAUGCGUAGAUAUCUGGAGGAACACCGGUGGCGAAGGCGGCCCCCUGGACCGGUACUGACGCUGAGGCGCGAAAGCGUGGGGAGCAAACAGG